rnacentral:tRNA from 1 species
GGUUUAAGUGCGGUGUUGGGUAGAGCGCUUCGUUCACAUCGAAGAUGUCGGGGGUUCAAAUCCCUCAUCACCCACCA